rnacentral:rRNA from 1 species
UACGUAGGUGGCAAGCGUUAUCCGGAUUUAUUGGGCGUAAAGAGAACGCAGGCGGUCUUUUAAGUCUGAUGUGAAAGCCUUCGGCUUAACCGGAGUAGUGCAUUGGAAACCGGGAGACUUGAGUGCAGAAGAGGAGAGUGGAACACCAUGUGUAGCGGUGAAAUGCGUAGAUAUAUGGAAGAACACCAGUGGCGAAAGCGGCUCUCUGGUCUGUAACUGACGCUGAGGUUCGAAAGCGUGGGUAGCAAACAGG